rnacentral:ncRNA from 1 species
UUAAGAGCGAUGAUGAAAAAGAGUAGGCGAUAGGAAUGUUUCAGAGAGCGGAUGGUUGCUGUGAGUCCGUACGGGAAUAUCGUUGAAUGGAUUUUGGAGCUUCUAGGUUGAAAGAAUAGUAGGCCUGGCGGGUGUCUUACCGUUAAAAGAGACUAUGUAUCGAAACGGCUUCACAGUUUCCGUACAGACUAAGUGCGUUUGCUAGAUGUAAACGAAUGAAGGUGGCACCACGGGUUACUCGUCCUUUUU